rnacentral:rRNA from 1 species
UGGGGAAUAUUGCACAAUGGGCGCAAGCCUGAUGCAGCGACGCCGCGUGGGGGAUGACGGUCUUCGGGUUGUAAACUCCUUUCGCUAGGGACGAAGCUUUUUGUGACGGUACCUAGAUAAGAAGCACCGGCUAACUACGUGCCAGCAGCCGCGGUAAUACGUAGGGUGCGAGCGUUGUCCGGAAUUACUGGGCGUAAAGGGCUCGUAGGUGGUUUUUCGCGUCGUCUGUGAAAUUCCGGGGCUUAACUCCGGGCGUGCAGGCGAUACGGGCAUAACUUGAGUACUGUAGGAGUAACUGGAAUUCCUGGUGUAGCGGUGAAAUGCGCAGAUAUCAGGAGGAACACCGAUAGCGAAGGCAGGUUACUGGGCAGUUACUGACGCUGAGGAGCGAAAGCAUGGGUAGCGAACAGG